CUGUAAAAUGUUAAAUACUAAUACAUUUAUAUGUACAUACAUACAUAUAUUUGAAUAAAAUUAUUAUUUUGUUUUUCCCUAAACCUUUUCUUUAUUUGAGUUUUGGCUUCACCUGCACUUAAAAAGAGAUAAAAAAAAACACAAAGAAAUAUACCUUUACAGAAUUAAAAAUAUGGAGUACAUAUCCUCGGAUCUGUAUUAAUAUUUUCAUACCUAUACUUUAAUGCAAUAUUAACCUGAAAAAUAAAUAAUACGCAUGAGUACACAUACAAUGCAAAAAUUGAUUUGGAAAUCAAGUUACCUGCGAUGAAAUUUGGUAUCCACUUACAGCUUAGCAAACCAUCUCUGCUUUAAAAAAUUAUUUAAUUAGUCAUCUUUGAUUUCCUGCAAAAAGAAAGAUAUAAUAAAUGAGCAUGGUAUUAGAAUUUAAAAAUAAAAUAUUAUACUUACUAAAUUUAUCCAUCUGCUUCGAAAGUUUAUUUUUGUUUACUAAUUGUUAAAAUAAUUUUGGUCACUAACUUGUCAACGCAAAUUAUUACAUGUAGAUUCCAUCUACAAAUCAAAAUCUAUUGCGAAUGGCACAGUUUGUGUAUUUGGAUAAAAAUAGUCAUGUAUUAAUUUUCUGUUACGAUAACACAUUGGCAGAACUUAAAGGCCAUGCGUAAUAACAUAACAGAAAGUUAUGCUGUUAAAAAGGAAAGGUGUAUAAUAAUAUUGAACAUAUGAUCAUGUAAAGCAAUGAUCGCAAUUAGGUGCCACGCGUGCCAAGAUUGGCACUCUUCGAAACUUUGCUGGCACGCGUCAUAAGUUGAUAUUGAAACACAUAUCUGAUAUUUUUGUUUUUAUUUUUGUUGAUUAAAUAUAUUUAAGUUUUUUUUAUAUAAAUUUAUGUUUUAAUAUAAAUAAAAAUAAAAUAAUAAAUGAAAUAAAUAAAAAUUAAUAUAAAAACGAAUAUAAGUAUUCUGAUUUUCAAUACUACUUAAUUUUAUCGAAUAGAUUCGGCACGCCGAAAUAUUGGUUUGAAAAAACACAUCUUUUUUGGCACGAUACAUAAAACCUUAUUACGACCACUGAUGUAAAGUAUAUAAAUAGGUCAACGCACUAACUGUUAAUGUAGCACUCGAUUUUAUACAUACACUUUAUGAUGUAUUAUAGCAUUAUGAAUUAAGGUAAAAAGAGUAUUGCAAUAGCAGAUUGCGGUGUGUUUAAUAAAAGGCAAAUUAACAAGAAAAAGUACGAUGAUGGCAAGAUUCGGAGGCAAAAAGAAUUCAUUCGAAAAAGAGUAGUCAACCACCGAAUAUCAUCACAAUAUUUUUUACCAAAGUUUAAUUUAAAGGUGCCAAUUCCCAUAGUCACGUCACGGGGUUGUCACCGUGACAGUUAAAAUUUGCUAUUCUUGUAGUCACGCUCGUGACAACCCUCACGAAAAUCGAGUGACAGUCGUCACGCAGUUUUUAUUUGUGAGAGUUGUGUUUUUUUUUAAUUAAGGAAAUUUUGUAUUUUUUUUAGAAAAGAAAAUGAGUAAAAAUAAGAAGAAAAUAAAAUUAAACAAAAUUAUUAAUAUAAAUGAAACGAUUAUUAAUCAAUAUUGACAAAAAAAAAUUAUUUUUACAGUAUAAAAAUUACAAACAGAAAACAAUUUGAAUGUUUGGUUGCAUGUAUGGCAGAAAACGUUUACUUGGCUAGAAAUGUUAUGCCAAAUAAAGACGAUUAUAGGAAAAUUUGGAAAAGUAUUUCAGAUAAGCUUAACAGCUUAGGACCACCCAUAAAAACAAUGUCGGAGUGGCAGAAGAUAUGGACAGAUAUGAAAUUAAAAGUAAGGAAAAAAAUAGGUGUCAAUAAAAAAGAAUUGAAGGCAACCGGGGGUGGGUUGAAUAAAUUAUAUGAAUUCACUUCUUUAGAAGAAGAAAUUGUAAGAAUCUUGCAACUGGAUAAAGUAGCAAAUUCAGGUGGAGAAAUUUUUGGUCUAGAAGAGGACGUACAACGAGAUAUCUCAUCUGAAAUGGUCACAGAAAUAACUGACAUAUCUAGCAGCAACAAUGAGGGUUUAUUUGAAAUGUUGGAAGACCAAAUGUUAUCAAAUGUAACAGCCAAUGUCUUAACUGAAGUUGAAGAUUAUAACAACAAAAGCAAUAAAAAUAUUAAUGAUGAUAAAAAAAAUACUAUUAAUGAAAAUUUAAAAAAAAAACCAUUCACAACAUCAAUAUUGAAAAUUGCAAACAAACAAGCUGUUGAUGAAAGAAUGGUUGUCAUAAACAAACAAACGGACAUUUUUAAAUCAAUAUCUUCAAAAAUGGAUGAAUGUGUACGUUACCUACGAAAAAUCAACUAUUCGAAAGAGAAAGAAAUCCAACUAAAAGAAAAAGAAAUUCAACUAAAAGAAAAAUAAAUUCAACUAAAAGAAAAGGAUUUAAAAUUAAAGGAACGUGAAGUAAGAGUGAGGGAAGAGAAAUUAGGACUGAAAGAAAAUAAAAAAUUUAAAAAAACUCAUUUUGAAAACGGAAUAUUUAACCUAAAAGCAAAAUUAGAUUUUGAAAAAGGAAUUUAAAACAAUUUUUAUUUUAUAAUUCUUUUUUGCAUACAUGUCUAACAAAUAGAAUUCAUUAUAUGUCUUCUAACUUCAACCCCAAUAUUAUUUCUGUGGUCAAAAGCCAAAACGACAUAACUCGAGAUAUGUUCAAAAUGAGUUAUUACCACCAUGCUCUUCUCCAUAUGCAAAUGCAUAUUGUGUCAAAUUUUGGUGAAAAUCGGUUAAAAAAUAAAAGAGAUAUAAGGCAUGGAAUUUUAGCACAACCCAUUUUGUUGCUUUUUUACAAUUGGAAUAACCACACAACUCAUUAAUUUUUUUACAUGUUCUUUUAUUCCAAAUUGAAAUUUGACUGGAUUUUAAUUUUUGUUCAAAAAGCAUAACAAGAUAUCUGACUUAUGGAUUUAUUCCGCGAUAGAAGCCCGUUUUGUUCAUUACAUAAUUCGAUUUUGUCUUUAUUCCAAAAUGUGAACUCAGUUUUUUUAAAGCAUAGGUUGAGUUGUAUUUUUUUGGCAAAAUCAAAAACUAUAAAUUACGGAACAUUACUGUACAUAUUCGUUUAUUCCGAGAGAACUUAAAAAAUUUUGAGAAAAUUAUGUCGACAUGUGCAUUUAUGUCGAAUGUAAACAGGUUUCACAGUUGUAAAUGAGUUCUUGUGUAAGUAAGUUUGUCAAUAAAAAGUGCUUAGUAAAUUUGAUUUUUACACUUAAAUUAACUGAAAAAUUUCAAUAAAAAAAAGGUCAUUUUAUUAUAUUAAUAACCUUUUAUUAUAUAUCAAGUUAUAUACUGUAUUUAA